CUUGGUCAUUUAGAGGAAGUAAAAGUCGUAACAAGGUUUCCGUAGGUGAACCUGCGGAAGGAUCAUUACCGAGAAACUGCCCUUAGGGUAGAUCUCCCACCCUUUGUUUACAUUACCUUUGUUGCUUUGGCAGGCCCGUCUUUGGACCGCCGGCUUAGGCUGGUCUGUGCCUGCCAGAGGAUCCUAAACUCUUGAUUUUUGUAUUGUCCGAGUAAUAUUAUAAUAAGUUAAAACUUUCAACAACGGAUCUCUUGGUUCUGGCAUCGAUGAAGAACGCAGCGAAAUGCGAUAAGUAAUGUGAAUUGCAGAAUUCAGUGAAUCAUCGAAUCUUUGAACGCACAUUGCACCCUCUGGUAUUCCGGGGGGUAUGCCUGUUCGAGCGUCAUUUCAACCCUCAAGCUCAGCUUGGUAUUGGGUGUCACCAGACAAUGGUGCACCUCAAAAUUAGUGGCGGUGCUGUCUGGCUUCAAGCGUAGUAAUUCUUUCGCUUUGGAGGUUUGGAUGUGUGCUUGCCAUCAACCCCUAAUUUAUCAAAGGUUGACCUCGGAUCAGGUAGGGAUACCCGCUGAACUUAAGCAUAUCAAUAAGCGGAGGA
rnacentral:sRNA from 1 species